rnacentral:ncRNA from 2 species
UAAAAAUGAAUACAGAAUACUUAUAUAGGUUCAUAAUCGGUUGAACGUCUCUACCAGCCGCCGGAACGGCUGACUAUAAGUAUCGCGGCGGACGGU